rnacentral:pre_miRNA from 1 species
UAUCUACUCCCUCCGUUCGGAAUUACUUGUCUCGGAAAUGGAUGUAUUUAAAAUUAAAAUACAUCUAAAUACAUCCAUUUCUGCGACAAGUAAUUCCGAACGGAGGAAGUAUAAG